GUGACUGCCCAUGCUGGGAGACAAGCUGCAGAUCCUCCUCCCCUUUCGAGGCCACAGCUUGAUUUUCCAGGGCCGUCACUCAGAGGAAGACUUGUAGAGGGCCUGUCAGCAGGGGUGUACUAGGGGGCAGCGGGCUGCAGGGAGGGGAAUUAAGGGAAGAUUAGUGGGGCAGAACAGCCUCACGAAGCCGAGUUCUCACAAGGGCGUGUCGAGAAAGGACGUGUGGCUAUGCAUUUAGUGUCAGGAGUGGUCACUGCCCUGGGAGGAGUAAUAACACCUACUUCAAAGAGCUCCUUCGCCGUCAGGGCCGAGGAGAUCAUGAAGAUGAGGCGUUGGCACACGUGCCUGGGACACGGAUUUCAGCUACAAGCAUCUGCCUGGAAGGUGGGCUCUGCCUGAGAGUUUAUGCCUGGCUCUCUCCCUGAUGACCUCCUUCCCACUCAGAAGCAAUCCUGCAGCUCUACCUGUUCCUCCAAACGCUAAGAGAAGAGCCUGUUAUCUUGUUUUGCUUCAGCAGCAAUUGAGGAUGUCUUCAGUGACAUGGAGAGUUCAGUGCCACUUCUGUCCCGGGUGGCCUUCCCCUCCCCGCAUCCCCCUCCCCUGCCCUCCCCUCCCCUGCCUUUCAUGCCCGAGGAGCCCACUGUAAUAAGGUCCAGGAAACCCUGCACAGCCAUUCUCCCUCCCACAAACCCACUCCACUGGAAACUAGCUGUCUUUUUUCCCCCUGGCUUUACUGAAGUAUA